GGGCUCAUAGUUCAGUGGCUAGAACGUCGCCCUUACAAGGCGAAGGUCGCCGGUUCGAGUCCGGUUGGGCCCA
rnacentral:tRNA from 1 species